AUUGAACGCUGGCGGCAGGCCUAACACAUGCAAGUCGAGCGGAUGACGGGAGCUUGCUCCUUGAUUCAGCGGCGGACGGGUGAGUAAUGCCUAGGAAUCUACCUGGUAGUGGGGGACAACGUUUCGAAAGGAACGCUAAUACCGCAUACGUCCUACGGGAGAAAGCAGGGGACCUUCGGGCCUUGCGCUAUCAGAUGAGCCUAGGUCGGAUUAGCUAGUUGGUGGGGUAAUGGCUCACCAAGGCGACGAUCCGUAACUGGUCUGAGAGGAUGAUCAGUCACACUGGAACUGAGACACGGUCCAGACUCCUACGGGAGGCAGCAGUGGGGAAUAUUGGACAAUGGGCGAAAGCCUGAUCCAGCCAUGCCGCGUGUGUGAAGAAGGUCUUCGGAUUGAAAAGCACUUUAAGUUGGGAGGAAGGGCAGUAAGCUAAUACCUUGCUGUUUUGACGUUACCGACAGAAUAAGCACCGGCUAACUCUGUGCCAGCCGCCGCAGUAAGAC
rnacentral:rRNA from 1 species